UUCAGCAACGGAUCUCUUGGCUCUCGCAUCGAUGAAGAACGCAGCGAAAUGCGAUAAGUAAUGUGAAUUGCAGAAUUCAGUGAAUCAUCGAAUCUUUGAACGCACCUUGCGCUCCUUGGUAUUCCGAGGAGCAUGCCUGUUUGAGUGU
rnacentral:rRNA from 2 species